GUUUCAUGAUAGUCGUCACUUAGAAAAUUAUUCUGAAUAUUUUUCCUGAAUAGAAGUUUAGUCUUGAUCCCUUCUCUUCCUCAUUCCACACUCUUUUCAGGCCUGUAGGACCAUGUAAAUUUGGUAUACUAAUAACUGGUUUUUACUAUGAAAAGCACCAACAAUUUCUCUAGCAUGCCAGUUAUACUACUGGGCUUGAAGUUACAGAUUAAUUCAAUAUACAACAGUUUAACACUUUGUAGCAAUCCAAGAUAUUCUUUGGACGUAUGUUAAUUUCUGAAUGUUAAAUAUUUUAAGAGUAAAGUCGUACUUUUUUUUUCUCUCUGUAAGCAAAGUAUAUGUAACCUGAAUUGAUGUUUCACGUAGCAUUUGUCAAGAAAUUUUAUCGUAGUUAAGGCAUUUGGAUCUAAUUUUCCUCGUAUUAAGAAAACCCCUGCUAUGUCAGUGGGGCAUAUCCUUAGCAUGCCCAGCCCAGUAUGGAAUAUAAUUCGUUCCUGCGUGCUGUGCAACUUCUCUUCAUGUGUGGCUGUAGCAGAAAACAAACAGUGUGCGUGCAGAUUUGGCACUUGCUUUUCUUGCAUAAGCAACAAUGAGAAAUAAGCACUGUGUUGUAAAGAUGAGUGCUUAGGGCUUCUUAUGGGGAUGUUCUGCCUACACUGGGUCUGUGCAAUUUGCAGGGAUCACUUACACCCUCAAAUUGUCAUGAGGUGGGUUUUCUUUGGUACUUUUGUAUUGUGUGGCCUCUGCAUUUCUCUCCCUCCUUAAUGCACAGAGCUAAUCCUGCCAAAGGCCCUAUUCACUGCAGAGUUGUUUGUCUUUAAUGUACCAUAUUGUUCACUCCAGUUUUGAUUUGAUCUCAAACAGACUACUAUAUACAGAA